rnacentral:tRNA from 1 species
GAGGGUAUAGUUCAGUGGUAGAAUGCAUGCCUAGCAUGCAUGAAAUCCCAGGUUCAAUUCCUGGUACCUCCA